rnacentral:tRNA from 1 species
CCGGAUGUAGCUCAUGAGGUUAGAGCACUAGACUCCGAAUCUAGGCGUAGUGGGUUCGACUCCCACCAUCCCUC